rfam:Erythranthe guttata cultivar DTN x IM62 scaffold_213_contig_21, whole genome shotgun sequence.
UAAAGAAAGCGAUGUUGGUGAGGUUCAAUCCGAAGACGGGUUUACACAUGAAGGUUUGUAAAGAACGAUCUCAGAUUGAGCCGCGCCAAUAUCACUCUCUCUAUA